rnacentral:piRNA from 1 species
UAACCAGUGGAACACAGAUGCAUGU